UAUGUCUAAGACUAAGCCAUGCACGUCUAAGUACAAACUAAAUGAUGGUGAAACUGCAAAUGGCUCAUUACAACGGUUAUGAUGUACCCGGGAGUUCCGAUGGAUAUUUCCAGUAACACUAGAACUAAUACAUGUCCCUGCGUUUAUUAGUUUCGCACAGUCCGUCGCUGAGUCAUGGUAAACAGUUGAUCGACUCGACGUCCCGGAACAGUUUCCGCCCCAUCAGCUUCGAUGGUUGGGUAUUGGCCUACCAUUGCAACAACGGGUAACGAGGAAUUAGGGUUUGAUUUCGGAGAGGGAGCCUGAGAAACGGCUACCACAUCUACGGAUGGCAGCAGGCGCGCAAAUUACCCAAUGCAGACACUGUGAGGUAGUGACGAGAAAUAAUAAAGCGGUACUUCUGUUUCGCUAUUAUAAUGAGGAAUAACCAAAGGUCAUUCCGAUUAGCAACUGAUGGGAAAGUCUGGUGCCAGCAGCCGCGGUAAUACCAGCGUCAGUAG
rnacentral:rRNA from 1 species